UCUGGAGAUGUAUCAGGUGUGUUUUCUUCCCAUGUUGGUGUGGACCCUUUCAACUGUGGAGUAUUACCUGCCCUAAAUACAGCUGUUGCCUAGAAACCCCAUUAUACUCAGUCCACAGGGAGAAAAGAAUGCUACCUUAAAAGACUGCUUUUAUCACCUAGGUUAAUACACUACACUGUUUCAAUUGGAAGAUGAUAUAUAAAGGUGGCUCGCAUAAGGGGAGUACUACAACUUCAAAUUACUCCAAAAACGGAAGAGACUGAUUAGUAUGAUUAGU